rnacentral:rRNA from 1 species
UGCCAGCCGCCGCGGUAAUACGAAGGGUGCUAGCGUUGUUCGGAAUUACUGGGCGUAAAGAGCAUGUAGGCGGAUGAAUUAGUCAGGCGUGAAAGCCCGAGGCUCAACCUCGGAAUAGCGCUUGAUACUGAACUGCUUGAGACCGGAAGAGGGUAGUGGAAUUCCCAGUGUAGAGGUGAAAUUCGUAGAUAUUGGGAAGAACACCAGUGGCGAAGGCGGCUACCUGGUCCGGAUCUGACGCUGAGGCGCGAAAGCGUGGGGAGCAAACAGGAUUAGAUA